UGCCUAUUAGCUCAAUUGGUAGAGCUUCGUGCGCUUGCACAAUGAUGUAAGUUCGAGUCCUACAUAGGCAA
rnacentral:tRNA from 1 species